rnacentral:lncRNA from 1 species
GGGCAUCGUCGCCCCGUUUGCAGAUGGAGCAACUGUCGGGGUGGGGGUGGGGUUGCUCAAGCUGCCUGGACCCGGCGGCGGGGCCUGUGGUGGCCGGGAGCAGCUACCCCUACCUCGCCUUCGUCUCCAGGCUCCGCGUUGCCCAACAGACCCGGGACAGACACAUUUCGUCAGUGACCAGGGAGCCGGGCUCCUGGCCCCGCCGCCACCCAGAUGAACCAGAUGUGUGAUGCCGGGGGCCCUCAGGAAGGACAGGGCCUUGCCCCCUGCCCUGCCCCAGUCAGCACUGCUCAGCCGUCACCCAGGAAGGAAGGAGGCUUACCAGCAGCCCCCAUGCUGUGUGUGUAUUAUCUUCAUCAGCCCAAGAAGGAAGCUGUUAAUACCAAGCCCGGUCACAGGGAGACACUGAAGGUGUGUGAGCAACGGAAAAACGCUACUAGAGGGGACUUGAUCUGCUGGCAGCUAUGCUGGAGUCGACUGGGAAAUGGGUCUCCUCCAGGCCCCUUCCCCGAUCUCCAUGACUGAAUGAAAGCGUAAAAGCCAACUGGGAGCUGAGAUGUGCUGGGCACCUGGUGGAUUUAGAAAUGAUGCAAUCACGCACAGGGCUUUAACAAGGCAAUGCCUCAGUUAUCAGACAGCAGAUGAUACUCUGGGGAGCGGGGAGCACGGCUGAAACCAGCCACUCAUGAGAGGUCCAGCCCCCAGCAAAGAAAGAAGCAGGACAGUCGGGGAACAGUGAGGUCCACCUGUUGCUCAGUUACUGACUGAACAACAACACGUUCUACAGUAGCUGCUCUGUUGGGUUCAUGGUGACGACACCGAAAGUUAAGUGAAAGUGAAAGUCGCUCAGUUGUGUCCGACUCUUUUCGACCCCAUGGACUAUACAGUCCAUGGAAUUCUCCAGGCCAGAAUACUGGAGUGGGUAGUCUUUCCCUUCUUCAGGGGAAUCUUCCCAACCCAUGGAUCGAACCCAGGUCUCCCGCAUUGCAAGCGGAUUCUUUACCAGCUGAGCCACAAGGGAAGACCAAGAAUACUGGAGUGGGUAGCCUAUCUCUUCUCUAGCGGAUCUUCCCGACCCAGGACUUGAACUGGCAUUGCAGGCGAUUCUUUACCAGCUGAGCUACCAGGGAAGCCCUGAUGGCACUGGCAGUGAGAAGGUCAUCAGCAGUCUGGAUGCUGUGUUGGUGAGGGCAGGGGCCGCUCAUUUUACCGUUACCAUCAGUCAAUAUGGGGGCUUCCCAGGUAUCACUAAUGGUGACGAAUCUGCCAGUCAAUGCAGAAGAUGCAAGAGAUACAGCUUUGAACCCUGGGUCGGGAAGAUCCCCUGGAGAAGGAAAUGGCAACCCACUCCAGUAUUCUUGCCUGGGAAAUCUCAUGAACAGAGGAGCCUGGUGGGCUACAGUCCAUGGGGCUGCAAAGACUCGGACGUGACUGAGUGACCUGAGCACACAUGAAUCAAUAUGCAUGAGCACAUAAAAAGAAAGGUGACGGAGGGCUUCCCUGGUGGUUCAGUGGCUAAGAUUCCAUGUUCCUAGUGCUGGGGACGUGGUCUCAACCCUGGUCAGAGAACGAGAUCCUGCGUGCUGUUAACUAGGAGCCCACAUGCUGCAACCAAGAUCCGGUGCAGCCAAAUAAAUUUUUUUAAACAAGGAAGACAAGUGAUAGGAGUGGUUCCUUCCUCUGAGUUCUCCGUCUUGACUGCCUGCCGCAGCCUGAAUGAGGCUACAGCUAAAGCACGUGGCUUAGACGGUAAAGAACCUGCCUGCAAUGCAGGAGAACCCAGGUUUGGUCCAUGG